ensembl:lncRNA
CAACAAAAAGGCAGUUCUAAACAUAAAUUCAAAUUAUCUAUACUAAACACAGUAGUUCCAAUGUAGUUUAACAGUAGCCACCAUUCAGGCACAGAGCCUUUUCUUUCUGUCACUAACGUCUUCGAAGGUAGGCAUUCGAAGAUUCUCUUCUGUGGGUGACCUUCUCAGCUGAAAUAGGAACGAGAAACAUUAGGAAAAAUAAUAAAUCAUCCUCCGGUGGUGGCUCUGUGGCAGCGAGCAUAUCAGUCACCGAGGACCAAUCUGCUAGCGUGUGUUUUCCUUUUCCCAACCAGUUUAAUCAUAAAUUAAUGGAUACUACCUUUGCUUCUCAUUUCAUUUUGGAGCUGAAAAUGUUGAAAACCAGAUAUUAUUUAUUUUAUAGUUAGAAGACUAUCUCAAAAGCUAACAACUGCUAAAUAUUUUUACAGAAUUUACAUAAGCAAGAAAAUGAACAUCCUCCUGUUAAAAUUUUAGGCAGAGGCUACACUUCAGAAAGUGUUAUUGCAUUUAGAACAUGCAAGACUUUGACCAGGUUAAAUGAAUUGAGGUGCCUCGAUGCCGCUUUAUGCAUCAGAUUUAAAUAAUGACACUAAGCUAAAGCAAUGUCGAGAGGUGGGUAGAGGAGGUUGGUGGUGGUUAGUUUGCUGCCCCCCAAAAAUAAAAAGUUAAAAAAAAAAGCUUUUAAACUGACUGGCUUGCUUCCUUGGGGCAUUUGACCACCUACUUUGGCUGAAAUAUGGAUAUAUAUUAUCCCAAUCAGGAGUUUAUAAUAUCCAAAGCCCAGAAUAGUCUGUGAAUGUGUUUACCUGAAAUGCCUUUUGUGUUGAUUGUUUACAAAAAUCAUGCCGUUCUUCUAAAAACCUUGACUAAUACCUGUUAUAAAGGGUAAAACCAUGAGAAGAGAUUAAUUUCCCACUCAAGUACUUUUUUCUUUCUUUAUGUGGCAUGAGUCAGAGAGAUCAGAACUAAUUAAAGUACUGGCCAACCUUUAAAAGCAGAAAGUCGGUAUUAUCCCUUAAUUCCUCAGGAUUCGAGGGAACAAGGCAAAGGAGGAAUCCCCCUCCCAGCCCUGAGCGUAGCUUCGGAGACAGAGUCACACAGGCUGGGAAGCAAGCAGAGAAGAGCUCAGACCAGCCUGCUCUUCGCUGUUUGGGCUGUGGUGUAGCCUCUACUUUUUUGUUACUUUUACAGUGAAGCUUGAAGAGACUGCCUACCUGGUAACCAGACAAUGAAGGAAAGCUCCGAAGAAACCCCUUUCUUGACUAUAUUUCUGCCUGGAUAGAGCUUCUGCACUUUUCGGCGUGCCACCAAACACAUGGGGGUAAAAGGAGUUGAAGGAGCUUCUGACUAAAGCCCCACCCUCAGCCCAAUGCAUCCCCAACCCCGGAAUGUGCCAUCCUCGGCAAGUAAACCUUUCAGCAGUGCUAACUUGAGUGUGUUUUUCUACUGUUCACAUAUUUGGCACAAUCUAGUAUUUUCAGUCCUUUAUUUUUAAUCAGGUUGGCAAACGUCUCUCAUCUCUGGCUGUUUCUUCCCGUCCACACAGUGGUAAUAGCUUGUGUAAUUAUUACUUGCUACAUGAUCUGCUAUCCCUGUGGAUGUUUAGGCUCAUAUUAUCUUUAACCCCAUCCACCUUUGACAGUGAACUUUUCCCCAGCAUACUCAGCUGGGGAUCAGCUGGCGCCUGAGUUUGAAGGGCAGGACCAAGUUCAGGCCCUGAGGACUACAGACCUCGUUAUAGCUUCCAGACUGAGAGUGAUCGAAGCCUGGAGGGGAGGGUUAGGACUUGCUGCAGAUGUUUCUAAGGCUUUAGAGGACUGACCAAGGAAACAG